rnacentral:rRNA from 1 species
UACGUAGGGGGCAAGCGUUGUCCGGAAUCAUUGGGCGUAAAGAGCGUGUAGGCGGCCCGAUAAGUCCGCUGUGAAAGUCCAGGGCUCAACCCUGGAAUGCCGGUGGAUACUGUCGGGCUCGAAUCCGGAAGAGGUGAGUGGAAUUCCUGGUGUAGCGGUGAAAUGACGCAGAUAUCAGGAGGAACACCAAUGGCGAAGGCAGCUCACUGGGACGGUAUUGACGCUGAGACGCGAAAGCGUGGGGAGCGAACAGG